UCGGAUUUCAGGAUUAGUUGUCGCCCUAUUACUGGGUUGUACUUCUACCCUUCCUAACGAACAGCUAUCAUUUCAUUUAUUUGAUGUGGUAGUCUAUCGUUUCUUUUACUUUGAGAAAAUUAGAGUGUUCAAAGCAGGCUUCUGCCCGAGUAUUACUCUUGGAAUAAUACUAUAGGACCUUGGACUUAUUUGAUGGUGAGUAGGACUGAGGUAAUGAUUGAUAGGGACGGUUGGGGUCAUUCGUACUGUAAAGCGAGCGGUGAAAUGCUUGGACCUUUAUAUGACGACCUACUGCGAAAGCAUUUGACUAGGACGUUCCCGUUGAUCAAGAACGAAAGUUGGGGGAUCGAAGACGAUCAGAUACCGUCGUAGUCUCAACCAUAAACUAUGCCAGCUAGGGAUUGGAAGUCGAUCUUAUUUAUGACACUUUCAGCACCUUAUGAGAAAUCAAAGCAUUUGGGUUCCGGGGGGAGUAUGGUCGCAAGGCUGAAACUUAAAGGAAUUGACGGGAGGGCACCACCAGGAGUGGAGCCUGCGGCUUAAUUUGAUUCAACACGGGAAAACUUACCAGGUCCGGACAAAGUAAGGAUUGACAGAUUGAAAGCUCUUUCUUGAUUCUUUGGGUGGUGGUGCAUGGCCGUUCUUAGUUGGUGGAGUGAUUUGUCUGGUUAAUUCCGUUAACGAACGAGACCUCAGCCUGUUAAAUAGUACUGUCAUUCUUGAAUGGCAGCGACUUCUUAGAGGGACUACUUAUGCUAUAACUGAGCGGA
rnacentral:rRNA from 1 species